GUAUACAGCUGGAAGAGCAAUGGUGCCAGACAAGACUGCUAUUCUUCAGUGGUAUUUCCUUAUCGUUUAUAGAGGAAGUCUUGAAGACAAUAGCACCGUGGGCACAACAAGACCCUCCGUCUUCAAAGUAAGACUGAAGACUGAAAGUUACUCCCGAGUUGGUAGACUGUCUGAUGAAGGAGGAAAAUGAAGAAGGAGAUUCUGCUGAUCCUGUCAAUGGAAAGCAACGGUACCCCAUACCCAGUGCAAGCACAUAUAAAGAGAUGAGGAUGUGUAGUGCAAUGGCAACCACUACCCCCCCCCCCCCCCCCCCCCCCGGAGCUUCUCUCCAUCAGCAGAUGGCUUACAUUCUGCUGCCCAGAGAAGGGGAAGUUUGAGAAUGGAAGGAGGGGUUCUAAAGCUGCCUAUAUUCCUUGGCUUAGGACUCCUCUCCGCAUCUUCAAAGCAGCACCAUCCCUCCUGACUCCUGCCUCUUCUGGGUGUGAACCUUGUGCCUCUUUUUAUUUUAAGGACCUUUGUGACCGUUUUGGGUUUACUCAGAUAAUCUUGGAUAAUCUUCAAUCCUUUAAUCAUAUCUGCAAAGUCCCACAGUCAUAUCAGACAACAUAUUCAUGGGUUCUUAAGAUUCCGGUAUACAUUUCCUUGGAGGCCAUUAAUCUAUAAUAGGAAAGAAAAUAUUCUCGGUACCCAAAUCUCAAGAAACUAAGUGGAUAAUAUCAUUUCUUUAAGCUCAUACAAUGGUAAACUACACAGACAUCUUAAUGUGCCAUCAAAGUAUUUAAAUAGUUAGCAGCUUGCAACUUGCUAACCCCUCUUUUUGGCAUAAGACGUAGGAAUCUUAGUUUCAUCUUUGGCUUGUAUAGUCCUCUUUUACCAUUUUACCUAGAUUAAGCAUGGCCUGCUUAGAGAACUCACAGUUUUCCCAGAAAAGAAUUAUUAAUAUGGUAAGUGCUUUCUGUACCCUCCUCCAUCAAUUCUAGGAGUAAGGCUCACAUCUCUAGCCACGGGCAGGAGAGACUCCCAGUACUUUUCCAACAUAACCUCCUUGAGUCUUUCCUUCAGCUAAGAUAAACAACCCAUCUUCACAAGCCAUCCAGACUCUGCAGAUGCUGCUGCAGGUGACUACACCACCAGAAGUCCCAUUGCUUAGUGCCUUGCUCGCCUCCUCUCUCCUGCCACCUGAACCCGUCUCUGGUUUCCAUCUCCCCAGCACUGUUUGUAGAGAACACAAACCCUGAACACGCUUGCUUUAUCAGCACGUGCCCAUCAUAACUGCACACCAUCCUUGUCCUGCUGGAAACUGUUCAGCAUCCAGAGGGCCAUCUUUAUGCUGAUAACACUAAAAUAUAAAAUAAUGCCAACAGCUGGUGCUACAAAUGGCUUUUAAAAACGAUGUUCAUUCACUAAAAUUCCUCUUGCUACUUUUGACACGAAACACGCAGUCUCUAAUUAUUCUGAUCAAGACGGUGAAAUACAAAAACAAACUUUAAUUGUGUUUAACAGAUAUUUAAUCAGGACUCACUGAACUACAGAUUAAAGCUGAGAUUCAUAAACC
ensembl:lincRNA Gm15713 predicted gene 15713